AUUUCAAUAAAUAAAUUAAUUACUAAUUCAGGAAUUCCUGAAUCUUGAGAAAGCAAAAAGUUUGGGCAAACAUAAUCAUUGAAUGAAUACCAAAAAAAUCAUCAGUCUUCUCUGUUUCUUAGCAGUAUAAUCUUUGUUAUUUUCUUUGAAUGUAAAUAAACAAUAAAUCAUAUAGUAAAAUUUAAAUGUCACAAAAAUGUUGUUUUGUAUAAAAAAAAAAAUGUAUAAUUUCUAAUUUCAAUGCAUAUUGUCAGCCAUGUCAUGGUCAGAAACACUUCAAAUCCAUCAUCUAUCAGUCAUCCUACCAUAUACAUUCUCAUUUAUCAGCUAUAAACUCAUAUACCUCACAGGGUAGCAAGGACCUGUUAUAGAAUCAUAACCUCUCAGCCACACACCAUUUCCAUGACGGAGGAAGCAGUAUAGGGCUGCUGUCAUUGUUUGUGUCAUUAUGGCAUGUCAUUCUCUCCAAGUCUAUGGCCUCAAAAGUAGUGAAGCCUCUGGAACCAUUUACAGGUUUUAUUACGGUCGCUUGUCCCCAAUCAAUUAUCAGAUCUUGUUCAUCGCUCUAGUUGCCAAGGCUGUGGUCAAUCUACUGGCAAUUAUGUCAACUUUGUGCUCUUUUAGUCUUUUGUCCAGGCUCCUAGUAGUCCUCCCAACAUAAUACUGUAUGAUCCCUUUAUUGUUAUUAUAUAGGGGAAUCGAGUAUACCCUAAAUCUUCUUCUUCUUUUCAGGAUGAUAUCUUUUUUGUUACAUAAGAUGUUAAAAAUGGUAGGAUCCCUCUUGUGGGCCAUUUUAUACUUCCCUUCACUCAGUCUUAGCCACUUUUUUUGGUACUUGUUUGUAG
rnacentral:lncRNA from 1 species